rnacentral:rRNA from 1 species
UACGAAGGGGGCUAGCGUUGCUCGGAAUCACUGGGCGUAAAGCGCACGUAGGCGGAUUGUUAAGUCAGGGGUGAAAUCCUGGAGCUCAACUCCAGAACUGCCUUUGAUACUGGCAAUCUCGAGUCCGGGAGAGGUGAGUGGAACUCCGAGUGUAGAGGUGAAAUUCGUAGAUAUUCGGAAGAACACCAGUGGCGAAGGCGGCUCACUGGCCCGAUACUGACGCUGAGGCACGAAAGCGUGGGGAGCAAACAGG